GGCUCCCUAGCUCAGUAGAUUAGAGCGUGUAAUUCCAGUCCACAAGGUUAUCCGUUCGACUCGGGUGGGGGUCA
rnacentral:tRNA from 1 species